GGGCGCAUAGCUCAGUCGGUAGAGCACCUGUUUUACACACAGGCGGUCAUAGGUUCGAGUCCUGUUGCGCCCA
rnacentral:tRNA from 1 species